CACGUAGGGCGCAAGCGUUGUCCGGAAUUAUUGGGCGUAAAGAGCUCGUAGGCGGUCUGUUGCGUCUGCUGUGAAAACUCGGGGCUUAACCCCGAGCCUGCAGUGGAUACGGGCAGACUAGAGGUAGGUAGGGGAGAAUGGAAUUCCCGGUGUAGCGGUGAAAUGCGCAGAUAUCGGGAGGAACACCGGUGGCGAAGGCGGUUCUCUGGGCCUGACCUGACGCUGAGGAGCGAAAGCGUGGGGAGCGAACAGG
rnacentral:rRNA from 1 species